GUGCUUCUGAGGGAACAUCUGGCUGGCAAGUCACUGGGCAGGUCCUUGGGAACCGGACGACUUCUCUCACGCUUUGAGAAUCUGCUCAGUCUGCCUAUACAGCAAUUCCCAGUUGUUUUGUCGUUCUUCUUGUUCCAAACGCUCGCUUGAGAAAACCGCAGUGCCUGCCCUUCGCACCCAGCCCAGCUCCUCACCCUACUCGCGUGCUCCGAUGUGCCAAAGUCUCCUCACACGGCACAGCGCAACUCUGGGCCCGAUAGGCCCAGCAGCAGAACCAGCAGCUGCAAGCCACAGAUGCUCUCUGUCUGGGAAGCUGAAAUUGGAAACCAGGGAUCAUCCCGGCUGAUCUGAGGGUAUCUGGGUGGGAGCGAUACAAUGCCUAGCGGCACAAGUCAGGCAGCAAAGAUGAGAAGAACAUCAGCAGGAGUGCUUCACAAUGGGAAAGUUGCAACUUGAUCCAUGUUGGCCCGAGGCAAGUAAUCUGCCCUGGAUUACAAGAUUUCCUUCCCUAUGGAUUACAAGAUUUCCUUCCCUAUGAGAUCCCUGCUGCGUUAUGGAAUGGUAUCGCUGUCCCCAGGGCAAGACUUGCUGCUGACCUUCGCACGGCAGCACGGCAUUGCCGCUCUACGGCUGCAUGAGGGUGCCCGACUGGCUGACGUUGGAAACCACCGUCUCAAGUUCUCCCUUUUGCGUUCCACAGCUUCUAAAGACGUUAUUUUAAGGGAAUGGCUGCAGAGAAGCCUUCUGAAUCAUGAGCAUCCAAACAAGCUUUGAGCGACGAACUGCAUCACAAAUUCCCUCAUUCUUCAGGGAGGUGAA